rnacentral:rRNA from 1 species
AUGGCCAUUCUCCUCUUCUUAUUUUUCACAUCCAUUUUAUCCAUUUCCUACUCUUCGCCAUUGCCGGUCAAUGCCUCCGGUAACAUAUCAGCGCGCCGACAACCCGGCUGCGGCACCGGCAACCCGGUCGACGACUGCUGGCGGUGCGACCCUUGCUGGGCCGACAACCGGCAGCGGCUCGCCGACUGCGCAAUCGGGUUCGGCCGCAACGCCAUCGGCGGCAAGGGCGGCAGGACAUACGUCGUGACGGACCCCGGCGACGAGGACCCGGCCAACCCCGCCCCCGGCACGCUCCGCUACGGCCUCGUCCAGGAUGAGCCCCUCUGGAUCAUCUUCGCCUGCAACAUGACGAUCCGCCCCAAGCGGGAGCUCGUCGUGAGCUCGGACAAGACGGUGGACGGCCGCGGCGCCAGCGUCGUCGUCGGCGAGGGCGGCGCGUGCUUCACGGUGCGCAACCGGAGCAACGUGAUCAUCCACGGCAUCACCAUACGCGGCUGCAGGCCAGCGCCCAAGUCGGCGAAGAAGAAGAGCCAGCUGUCGGACGGCGACGGCGUCAGCCUCUUCGGCGCGAGGGACGUAUGGGUUGACCACUGCACGCUGGAGGACUGCGCCGACGGGCUCGUCGACGUGAUCGCGGCGUCGACCGGCGUGACCGUCUCCAACUGCCUCCUGACCAACCACAACAAGGCCAUGCUCCUCGGCCACAACGACGCCUACGAGGACGACAGGGCCAUGCGGGUCACCGUCGCCUUCAAUCGCUUCGGGCCGGGCCUCGUGCAGAGGAUGCCGAGGUGCCGGUUUGGGGUGUUCCAUGUCGUCAACAACGAUUACGUAAACUGGGGGAAAUACGCCAUCGGUGGCAGUGCAUCGCCGACCAUACUUAGCCAAGGCAACAGGUUCUGUGCCGGCAAGAAGAAAGAGGUGACGAAGCGCGACGGCGACCCGCCGAAGAGCGAGUGGCAGAAGUGGAACUGGGUAUCCGACGGCGACCUGAUGUUCAACGGCGCGUUCUUCACGGCGUCCGGCAGAUCCGGGCCUGAGAUUAAAGCCCCCAGUUUUGCCAAGCCCGCCUCUUUCGUGGCGCCGAUGACGGCCUCCGCAGGCGCUCUCUCGUGCAGCAAGGGUUCUCUGUGCUGA